AACGAACGCUGGCGGCAUGCCUAACACAUGCAAGUCGAACGAGACCUUCGGGUCUAGUGGCGCACGGGUGCGUAACGCGUGGGAACCUGCCCUUAGGUUCGGAAUAACUCCCCGAAAGGGGUGCUAAUACCGGAUAAUGUCUUCGGACCAAAGAUUUAUCGCCUUUGGAUGGGCCCGCGUUGGAUUAGCUAGUUGGUAGGGUAAAAGCCUACCAAGGCGACGAUCCAUAGCUGGUCUGAGAGGAUGAUCAGCCACACUGGGACUGAGACACGGCCCAGACUCCUACGGGAGGCAGCAGUGGGGAAUAUUGGACAAUGGGCGAAAGCAUGAUCCAGCAAUGCCGCGUGAGUGAUGAAGGCCUUAGGGUUGUAAAGCUCUUUUACCCGGGAUGAUAAUGACAGUACCGGGAGAAUAAGCCCCGGCUAACUCCGUG
rnacentral:rRNA from 1 species